UGGGCUUGAAAAGCAGUGGAUCGACUACGAAAGUAGUCUUCUCUUCGGAGCCGCUGUACAGGUGCUGCAUGGCUGUCGUCAGCUCGUGCCGUGAGGUGUUGGGUUAAGUCUCGCAACGAGCGCAACCCCUACCAUUAGUUGCCAUCAGUUUGGCUGGGCACUCUAAUGGGACUGCCUACGCAAGUAGUGAGGAAGGUGGGGAUGACGUCAAGUCAGCAUGGCCCUUACGCCCAGGGCUACACACGUGCUACAAUGGGCACUACAACGGGUUGCUAAGCCGCAAGGUGGAGCCAAUCCCUUAAAAGUGUCCUCAGUUCGGAUUGGAGUCUGCAACUCGACCCCAUGAAGC
rnacentral:rRNA from 1 species